rnacentral:rRNA from 1 species
GACGAACGCUGGCGGCGUGCUUAACACAUGCAAGUCGAACGGAAAGGCCAUGCUCUUGUGGGGUGCUCGAGUGGCGAACGGGUGAGUAAAACGCGAGUAAAAUGUCCUUGACUUAGGGAUAAAAUCAGGAAACUGGGGCUAAUAUAGGAUAGGAGAUACUGCUGCACGGUGGGGGAUGGUAAGUGUCGGCGGUUGGGGAUGGACUCGCGGCUUAUCGGCUUGUUGGUGGGGUAGUGGCUUACCAAGGGUUUGACGGGUAGCCGGCCUGAGAGGUUGACCGGCCACAUUGGGACUGAGAGACGGCCCAGUCUCCUACGGGAGGCAGCAGUGGGGAAUAUUGCGCAAUGGGCGGAAGCCUGAGGCAGCAACGCCGCGUGCGUGAUGACGUCCUUUGGGUUAUAAACCGCUUUCGCCUGUGACGAAGCGUGCGUGACGGUAAUGGGUAAAGAAGCACCGGCUAACUACGUG